GCUGUGCCUACCAGAAGCUGGGAGGGGCCAGGAAGGAUCCACCCCUGAAGACGUCAGAGAGAGCACAGCCCUGAAAACACUUUGAUUUUGGACUCCUAGCCUUCAAAACAGUGAGAAAAAACAUUUCAACCGGGAGGAAAAAAACAGGGUUGUUUGAAGCCACCUCGUUUGUGGUGCUGUGCUACGACUGCCCUAGGAAACUAACAGACAGCCCAUUCCAUUUUUAGCAAGUUUCAUGUCAGAAUGUACUUCCUGAUAGUGUGCUAAAAUUUAACUCUAUGCAACUACUGGCCCUCACUCAGCCUCCUGGAGUCAAACACAUGUCUAUUUCUUCCUCUACAAAAUGACCUUCAAGGAUUCCAGGCUUCAAUUAUGCCCCAUCUGAGAAGUGUCUUUGUUUACGUUCCUGGGCCGUUCAUAUCCUGGUGCCUUUCAAAGCCUGGUGAUAUAGCCAUUGAGACUUUCACUCUUUCUUUGGUGGCCCCCAGAACCACAUCAUUGAAGGCAUUCUCAGUGUCCUCCUCUUCGAGAUGGGAGCUAACGAGGCUUUGAGAUGGGCUGCAAUCCAGUAUGAGGGGUAACAGCUGCUACCUUUGAGAACCCUCCAAAGUGACACCUUUUCAUUCAUAGUCUUAAAGAAAUAGGUGAUGGUUAACACUAUGACGAAAAGCCAUUAGAGGAAAAAGCAAAACCAGGAGUCACAGAGAGAAGGUGGUCAAAAGGCAGCAUUUUAAAAAGAUCCUGGCUCUUUCCCCAACCAAGGAGGCAGGGAUGUUUCUCUCAGAGCCAGUGUCAACCCAAGCUUGCUGUCUCCAGUCUCCCGUCUCCUGCCACAGUCAGAAGCAGAGGGAAGGGGGAAUUGCCCUCAGGGAGCCCAUAUCCCUGGGCUGUACCUUAGAGGAAGUCCCCACCAACAAAAGAUAAAGUCCUACAUGAGUGGAAAACAAAUUACUCAGCGCUGAGGGGAAAUUUGCAAAAUAGAAAGCUUUCCACAUUGUCUUCUUAUUUUUUUCUCUGCAGAAUCACAGGAUUCUGGGCACCUGCUGAUCUCACAAUGAACAAAAAGGCAAGGUGUUCUGACAAAGGUGCCAAUUUCUGGCAAUGUCAUUGACUCCAAUUUGUACUCCCACACCCAAAUGACUUGCAGCUUUGGACGGAUGCCCAGUGGGGUGAAGAGAAGCUGCCUUUGUCCUAUUUAGCGGCAUUCUUCACUCUUGCUUUGACGGAGAGUUAAAAUUUUGAGCCGCUUUAAAGGGUCCUCCACUCUGAGAAUGCAAGGAUUCAAGGCAAUUGGAACCGGGGGGCACAAUUAUAAGUGGCUGACAACAUGAAACAGGACUUACCACCAGCUUGACCACAAGGGAGAGGGACUUCUGGGCAGCACUGAGUGCAACUAGAGAGGAAAAUUGAGAAAGUGACGGUGACCUCUGGAGUUGGAGAAGAUGUGCGACAAACUACAGAUAAUCUCCUCGAUGCCGCUGGACACACUGACUCAUAGAGUCUUACACUGAAAUAUCUUGUGAGGACACUCAAAUCCAGCAAGCCUGGCCUUGGACCAAACUUUGAGUCUUCCAGAAACAACGGGUGUCUCCCGGUCUGAGGGGCUCUGACUGUCACCCCACAGAGUUCUGAUUGGUCCCUAAAUGCAUUGUAGUGCACAACCGAGCCCCACAGGAAGACCAGAGCCCACAGCAUGCUAUCUGUAAAAUGGGCCGAGUCAGAAGUUGGAAUAAAGUACAUCCACGCAGUGGAAUAUUACGCAGCUGUGUGUGUGUAUGUGUAUAAAUAAAUUCAUAUGUACCGACAUCAGAAGCUCUCCAGAAUAAGUCAGUAAGUAAAAGAAAAAACAAAAGAAGGUACAAAAUACUGUAUGUAAAAAAGGGAGGGGAAUAAGAAUAUAUUUUUGAAUUUGAUUAUAUUUACAGCAACGCACGGAUUAAAAAAUCAACUAAGAGUGAUUUACUAUUACAGGGGUGGCAGAGGUGGGAAUAGGGGACAUGCACUCAGAAUAAGACGUCUCAGUGUGUACCUUCCCACAACAUUUCCCUUUUCAAUCGUGAAUAUAUCACAAUUGUAUAAAAAACAAUUCAUUAAAUAAGAAAUAAACUCAGCAAUGCUCUUCUCACAUUGCAAUCUGUGGUGAUAAAUCAUCAAAAUAUCCAAAGCCUGAUUUCCCUGGUUUGUAAGCUAUUUUAAUGUUUUGUUUUGUUUUGCUGGGGAAGAUUGGCCC